GAAUGCUGACAUAAGUAACGAUAAAGCGGGUGAAAAGCCCGCUCGCCGGAAGACCAAGGGUUCCUGUCCAACGUUAAUCGGGGCAGGGUGAGUCGACCCCUAAGGCGAGGCCGAAAGGCGUAGUCGAUGGGAAACGGGUUAAUAUUCCCGUACUUGGUGUUACUGCGAAGGGGGGACGGAGAAGGCUAUGUUGGCCGGGCGACGGUUGUCCCGGUUUAAGCGUGUAGGUGUGUGUUCCAGGUAAAUCCGGUUCACUUUAACACUGAGGCGUGACGACGAGGCACUACGGUGCUGAAGCAACAAAUGCCCUGCUUCCAGGAAAAGCCUCUAAGCAUCAGGUAACAUCAAAUCGUACCCCAAACCGACACAGGUGGUCAGGUAGAGAAUACCAAGGCGCUUGAGAGAACUCGGGUGAAGGAACUAGGCAAAAUGGUGCCGUAACUUCGGGAGAAGGCACGCUGACACGUAGGUGAAGUGAUUUACUCAUGGAGCUGAAGUCAGUCGAAGAUACCAGCUGGCUGCAACUGUUUAUUAAAAACACAGCACUGUGCAAACACGAAAGUGGACGUAUACGGUGUGACGCCUGCCCGGUGCCGGAAGGUUAAUUGAUGGGGUCAGCGCAAGCGAAGCUCCUGAUCGAAGCCCCGGUAAACGGCGGCCGUAACUAUAACGGUCCUAAGGUAGCGAAAUUCCUUGUCGGGUAAGUUCCGACCUGCACGAAUGGCGUAAUGAUGGCCAGGCUGUCUCCACCCGAGACUCAGUGAAAUUGAACUCGCUGUGAAGAUGCAGUGUACCCGCGGCAAGACGGAAAGACCCCGUGAACCUUUACUAUAGCUUGACACUGAACAUUGAGCCUUGAUGUGUAGGAUAGGUGGGAGGCUUUGAAGUGUGGACGCCAGUCUGCAUGGAGCCGACCUUGAAAUACCACCCUUUAAUGUUUGAUGUUCUAACGUGGACCCGUUACCCGGGUUGCGGACAGUGUCUGGUGGGUAGUUUGACUGGGGCGGUCUCCUCCUAAAGAGUAACGGAGGAGCAC
rnacentral:rRNA from 1 species